AUAUUGCAAAUUCCCGGCCUUU
rnacentral:miRNA from 1 species